GGGUGGAGUUUUGUAGCACUGAUGCUGCCCUGUUGAAACCAGGUGGAAGGGAAGGAGACAGGCGCUGUUCCUGCUUCAUCGUGGUUCAGCUAUGUUAGCGUUGGUGUUGGUGUUGGAUUUCUCACCUUUUACCCUAACAUAUCUCAAAAGUUUAAUAUCUGUCCUGCAGGUCAACAUGGCUGCCAGAGCAUUUUCUUCUUUCCCAGAAGUGCCCUCCAUGAGGUACCCAUGGGCUGCCCUUUAUGACCAUUCAUGAGCUCUGGGCCACCCCCAUAUUCUCCAUCCUGGUGGCCUUUGGGACCUCACCCUCCAUCUCCAUCUCCACCUCCACCAUUUGAGACUUUAGCCGAUCCAGAAGCUGGUGUCACUCCCAUGAGUCACAACAACAAGCACUCUACCAAAAAUGCCAAGAAGGACCAGGAAAAUGCUGGGGCCAUUUUCAGUUGGCAGUGUGAAUCCAUGGGGACCUCCUCUGUUAACUGGAAGAUUCUGCACACCCUGCCUACCCUAGAGGCCACCCUACGGGCUCCUGGGCACAUCCACCUCCUGAACCUUGGUGGCCCUGGGGACUACCCUAAACCCCUCCACCUACACCACUUGGCUCUUUUGCAGAUCCAGAUUUUGCUCCGGUGAUUGACAACAAAACUGACUCUACCACAAGGACCAAGAAGGACAAGGCCAUUAUGUAUGCAAGAGGGCCUGGUCCUUUCCUAGGUUUGCCUUGCAAGCUGUACCCCAUGGAUCACCCUUCAUCACCAGUCAUGGGCUAUGGGCUACCUCCAGCUCCUCCAAGUACUCAAUUUG
rnacentral:lncRNA from 1 species